GAAAAAUUGAAAGAAAAUAUUUAAGAUUUAAAGUUCUUUGAGCAAGUCAGCUUUUGAAAACAUCCAAAUAAAAUAACAUGCAAAUGACUUUGUUAGGCUAGUUUUCUACAAAUAUGUAAGCAAACUCAGGAUUAACUUUUAAGUAAUGAAAAUAUCAUAUAUACUCAAUAUUGUGGGAAAAAAAUGAAAUCUCCCAUCUUAACUUCAGAGAUUGUAUUCACUAGAGAAAGUGGUUUUUUUCGGGGGGGGGUACCAAAUUUCUUUAUUUGAAGCAAUUAAAGAACUUAAGUAGAUGUUCUGGUACAAUUUGUAGAAGAGGUACAGGUAGCCCCAACAUGCAUGCGCUGCCCCGGUGACGUCAGCCCAGGCUUAGCUCUCGUUGUCACUGACCCCAGGGUGUGCUUGUGGAAGAGGUACCCUGCCAUGCCGGACUGUGGGGCUCCCAUUUCACGCAGGUUGGUCAGAUGGUCACCCAGCUGCUUGAUGGCCUUCACUUGCUCGUCCAGGUGCAGGGCGCCCUCCAUCGCGUUCAGCCCGCUCUCCCAGUCGUCACGGUCUGGUUUCUUGAUAUCCUGCAGGAAGAUCGGCUCACUGCGUGGGUUCUGCAGCUUCAUCAGCUUCUCGGCAUGUUCCCUCUCCUCGGGAGGCUGGUGCAGAAAGUACUUGGCGAAGUUCUUCCAAGCCACAUCAUCGCAGUCAAAGCAGUAAGACAUGGACAGGUAGACGUAGGAGGCGUAGAGCUCCAGGUUGAUCUGGCGGUUGGUGGGGGCCUCGGCAUCCUGGUGGUAGCUCUGGCGCCCCUGCGAGGAUGAGGAGGUCGUCAUGGCAGCGGCGGGCGGGCGGGCGACGGGCUCGGUCCAAGCGCUGUUGAAGCAGGACACCGCGGCGACGCUCCGAACAUGGUUCUUUUAUAAGAAAAGUUACCCCUACGU
rnacentral:lncRNA from 1 species